CACCAGGUCCAAAGGAGGCACUACUAUAAACAUGUUAGUCCAACAUAUAUAAACAUAAAUUUUAUGCAACUAACAAAAUCAUGUUUAUGCCUCACAACAUGCAAAUAUGCAACAUGAAUACAAUACAAGUAGAUCUACCAUUUCUAUUUAAUUACUCAUAUCAUUUACAAUCCACUUCUAAGAUUCCUUUACCAUAGCCAAGCUACACCACCCGACUCGGUCUUGAGUCAAUC
rnacentral:lncRNA from 1 species